AUGAUGGCAAGAGGGAGGCGAGGCAGAGAAGGAGAGGAAGCAAAUGCAAGGUGGUACCGCUGACUGAGCGGGCCACAGCUUGAUGGAAACACAGCUUGUCCGAUGGGACACCUCUGGAGAGAUUCUGUGGACUUACUGCAUCUCAGAACUGUCCGUCAUGAGGGAGGAAGGGAAUCCUCCUUCUUACUCCCUAACCCCAGAAAAGCAUCCCCACACAAAUAACCCCAUAAGAGGAGCCCUGAGCCGCUAAUUCAAACACUUCAUCACCAUAUCCAGCUGGAGGCAUUGUGUUCACGUCCUUCUAAAUCUCAAGUGUCCCUUCCAAGGUCAAGCAAGGUCUCUACUUCCUCCACGAGUUUGGAGUAAACUGUUGAUCUGUGCUCCUGAUGGCCGGUUAAGCCCUCAGGGAAAGAUGGACCUUGAGGUGUUUGGGGCCAGUAGAGCGGACUGAAGAGGUCUGGACAAGAGAGUCCCUUGUAAGAGACAAGAAGGAAGUAAAAUCCAGUUUUACUGAAGGUGAACCAUCUCCAGCUGAGUGAUUCUGCACUUCUCACCCUGAUUAUCCAAACCUGCAAUGCAUGAAGAUAAAUUUCAAUCCUCUUUCUCUUUCCCCGCCUGAAAAAUUCAGCUCCCUCUGCCAGCUCUGCAUCAGGAUGCCCACAAACAUCAGUCAAUCCUCUCCCUCGGUUGGUUCAUCUAGAAAUUUCUCUGUUGCUGCUGCAAGGCCACUCAGAGCAGACUCUGUUUCCUUCCCUCAGCAUCUUUCACAUUUCCUCAGCCAUAGUGGAAUAUUUUUCAAGUCCUGUUGGCUGUUUUGUUUGUUUGUUUUCCCCUGCCUCGAGCCCAUCUCCUUGUUCCUGAUUGGUGGCAGGAAAGCCAGUCUUUCUGACAGCUGGAUAGACCUAAAUAGAUCACAGCCCAUAAUGGGGCCCUACGAUAAAUAGCCGUAUUGCUGAGUGAUGGCCCCUCAGAGUGAGUUAUAAAGCCCGCUAAUGUAUUAGCAUGGCACAUUUGUACACUGUAACUUCUGUCCAGUGUGUUGUGUUCCACGGGGAGCAUCCUGAGCCCAAAUCUGGCAUU